ensembl:rRNA 5S_rRNA 5S ribosomal RNA
AAACACGGCCAUACCACCCUGAACGCGCCCGAUCUCUCGUCUGAUCUCGGAAGCCAAGCAGGGUCGGGCCUGGUCAGUACUUGGACGGAGACCGCCUGGGAAUACCAGGUGCUGUAAGCU